rnacentral:miRNA from 15 species
GUCCAUGGUAGUCAGUUCUCUAG